CAGACUUCAAAAGCCAUAUGUUCUGCACAAGGUUGAUUUCAGGAUUCCUUUCAUCAGUUAUACUAACAUGCCUUAAAACAGUGUGUGAUUCUUCACUUGUUGGAACUAAAUGAGUGAGUGAGAUCAUGGAGAAAGAUGGUUUGGCAAGAGAGGAAUCAAGAUGAAAUACUGAAAAUACAAGAGGUGGUGAAUACACAAGAACCUGGAAGAACAGAUAACCAGAGAUGAGGCACACAGAAAAAUGGAGAGUGG
rnacentral:lncRNA from 1 species